UAGGGAAUCUUCGGCAAUGGACGGAAGUCUGACCGAGCAACGCCGCGUGAGUGAAGAAGGUUUUCGGAUCGUAUAGCUCUGUUGUUAGAGAAGAACGUUGGUAGGUGUGGAAAAUCUACCAAGUGACGGUAACUAACCAGAAAGGGACGGCUAACUACGUGCCAGCAGCCGCGGUAAUACGUAGGUCCCGAGCGUUGUCCGGAUUUAUUGGGCGUAAAGCGAGCGCAGGCGGUUCUUUAAGUCUGAAGUUAAAGGCAGUGGCUUAACCAUUGUACGCUUUGGAAACUGGAGGACUUGAGUGCAGAAGGGGAGAGUGGAAUUCCAUGUGUAGCGGUGAAAUGCGUAGAUAUAUGGAGGAACACCGGUGGCGAAAGCGGCUCUCUGGUCUGUAACUGACGCUGAGGCUCGAAAGCGUGGGGAGCAAACAGG
rnacentral:rRNA from 1 species